CAAAAGGAGAGAACAUGUUUCACAACGG
rnacentral:piRNA from 1 species